UGUUUCGGCUAGGGGGCCAUCCCGGCUUACCAACCCGAUGCAAACUGCGAAUACCGGAGAAUGUUAUCACGGGAGACACACGGCGGGUGCUAACGUCCGUCGUGAAGAGGGAAACAACCCAGACCGCCAGCUAAGGUCCCAAAGUCAUGGUUAAGUGGGAAACGAUGUGGGAAGGCCCAGACAGCCAGGAUGUUGGCUUAGAAGCAGCCAUCAUUUAAAGAAAGCGUAAUAGCUCACUGGUCGAGUCGGCCUGCGCGGAAGAUGUAACGGGGCUAAACCAUGCACCGAAGCUGCGGCAGCGAACGUAUCACUUAAAGCGAUUCAGCGGGUUACGAUUGACGGAGCGAAGCGACGUCAAAGCGUAUACAAAGUCGAGUCGGUUUAAGGAUACGUUCGUUGGGUAGGGGAGCGUUCUGUAAGCCUGUGAAGGUGGCCUGUGAGGGUUGCUGGAGGUAUCAGAAGUGCGAAUGCUGACAUA
rnacentral:rRNA from 1 species